rfam:Pan troglodytes isolate Yerkes chimp pedigree #C0471 (Clint) chromosome 16, whole genome shotgun sequence.
GCUGGGCAUGGUGGUGCAUGCCUGUAAUCCCAGCUACUUGGGAGGCCGAGGCAGGGGGAUUGCUUGAACCUGGGAGGUAGAGGUUGCAGUGAGCCCAGAUCAGUCCACUGCAUUCCAGCCUGGGCAACAGAGUGAGACUCUGUCUCAA